GCCCGCUCAGAAACUCAAAGGAAUUGACGGGGCCCGCACAAGCGGUGGAGUAUGUGGUUUAACUCGAUGCAACGCGAAGAACCUUACCUGGUCUUGACAUCCCGGAGACCCUUAGGAAACUAGGGGGUGCUUCCAUCUGGAAGAAUCUGGAGACAGGUGCUGCAUGGCUGUCGUCAGCUCGUGUCGUGAGAUGUUGGGUUAAGUCCCGCAACGAGCGCAACCCUUGCCUUUAGUUGCCAGCAGUUCGGCUGGGCACUCUAAAGGGACUGCCGGUGUUAAACCGGAGGAAGGUGGGGAUGACGUCAAGUCCUCAUGGCCUUUAUGACCAGGGCUACACACGUACUACAAUGGCCGAUACAAAGGGCAGCGACACUGCGAGGUGAAGCCAAUCCCGUAAAAUCGGUCUCAGUCCGGAUUGGAGUCUGCAACUCGACUCCAUGAAGUUGGAAUCGCUAGUAAUCGUGGAUCAGCAUGCCACGGUGAAUACGUUCCCGGGCCUU
rnacentral:rRNA from 1 species